rnacentral:rRNA from 1 species
GACGAACGCUGGCGGCGUGCUUAACACAUGCAAGUCGAGCGGUAAGGCCCUUUCGGGGGUACACGAGCGGCGAACGGGUGAGUAACACGUGGGUGACCUGCCCUCAGCUCUGGGAUAAGCCUGGGAAACUGGGUCUAAUACCGGAUAUGACUCCAUGACGCAUGUUGUGGGGUGGAAAGCCUUGUGCGGCUGAGGAUGGGCCCGCGGCCUAUCAGCUUGUUGGUGGGGUGANGGCCUACCAAGGCGACGACGGGUAGCCGGCCUGAGAGGGCGACCGGCCACACUGGGACUGAGAUACGGCCCAGACUCCUACGGGAGGCAGCAGUGGGGAAUCUUGCGCAAUGGGCGAAAGCCUGACGCAGCGACGCCGCGUGAGGGAUGACGGCCUCGGUU